UACGUAGGGGGCAAGCGUUGUCCGGAAUCAUUGGGCGUAAAGAGCGUGUAGGCGGCCAGAAAAGUCCGCUGUGAAAACUCGAGGCUCAACUUCGAGCUGUCGGUGGAAACUUUCUGGCUAGAGUCCGGAAGAGGAGAAUGGAAUUCCUGGUGUAGCGGUGAAAUGCGCAGAUAUCAGGAAGAACACCCGUGGCGAAGGCGGUUCUCUGGGACGGUACUGACGCUGAGACGCGAAAGCGUGGGGAGCAAACGGG
rnacentral:rRNA from 1 species